GGAUGGCAAUGAUGAUUCUUGUGAAGAUGCGUUCCUGAUGUAUAAAUCAUGAGGGUUGCACAGUCACUACCUCUUCUGAUGCCAUCU
rnacentral:snoRNA from 1 species